AUAUUAUCCAAAACCAGAGGUUCUACAGGAACAAGUAUUUACUUCCCUUUGUACAGAGGCCCACCUGCUAGGGCAAUGGUUAGGUGCACAUGACAUAAACCAGGCAAUGUUAGAGGUACGUGCAUAUGGUAUCUUUGCAGGGGUAAGGGAUGGUUUUAACAUAGGCCUUGGAGAUUUCUAGGAGAUUGGUCAUUUCCUUAAACAGCUUAUUUCUGGCAUGAAAAACUUCCAUCUUCAACACUCUUACUCCCUCCCAUUACUUCAAUUUCUACCUUUACUCCUAAAUAUGCAGCUACAGCCUUGACUUGGUUCUCGAGCUCCAGAUUUGGCAAACUCACCUAUCGCCACAGAGAAGUCUCACGGCCAAGCUGAAUAAAAUAAAACGCUUCUCUUUGCUGUAAGCCCACUCCUCCUCCCAUCUUCCCUGUUCCUGUGAGCCAUAACACAUUCACCUCAUCAUCAAGGGUCACACCCUUAGAAUCCUCACCGACAGCUCCUAACCCACAAGCAGGAAGGCUGGGCAGUGCACCCUCACUGCUUGUCUCAGACCCCUCACGUCCCUCAUACCUACUGUCACAGCCCCAGGUCACCUAGAAAGCUGCUCUCCUCCCUCCUUUUCUUACAGCACAACGAGCCAGAUUCAUCUUCCAAAGCACCGCUGUCCUCUCCAAGCUGCAGUCUCUCACUCUCUUGCCCUUAGAGUAAGUCCGAAUGCCUCACCCGGGCCUCCAUGAUCCAGCCAAGCUGCCCUUGCAGCCUUUCCUCCCCGCACCCCACCGGCAUCCCCUGGGCUGCCCAAUCAGCCUCCACCAGAUUCCCAGGCAGGGGAGCCACGGGGGAAUGUCCAGUGUUGGAGCUGGAAGCCAGGGACGCUGACUUUAGAACUGUCUGGUUGCUGUGGAGCCUCAUGGAGUCUUCCCAGGUCUGUCUCCCUGUUUGAGGCUUGCACUCCAGAGGCCCCUCUGGGCAAUAAUGAACCACCGGGAGUGGUGCCGGGAUCGCAGACAGAGAUGGACUGCCUGGAGCAGGGUCACCAGGACCAAGGCAGUAACUCAGAUUUGGUGUCAGAAGUGAGAAUACAGAGUAAAACUUCAGCAACCCCCAGGAACACCAGGGAACCAGACCAGAUACCUGCGAAGCCAGCUGUGCCCACUGAUUUCUUGUUUGUAACUGGAGGUCGUGGCUGAAUUUUCUCUCAGAUUCCAAGAUCCAAGAAUUUGUGUUCUCAGCUCUCCAAGUUUGUUUGAGCAAUCUUUGGACUGGGCUGGGUUUGGGAUUGGAUUGGAUUCAAUAAUCAACCGGAUUAGAUUCAGUUAGAGGCUGAGGGCCUCAGGUGGGUACCUUUUUGGUAAUGAGUUCAUCUCAAUUCAAAGAGCCUGGGACUCCACAUUCUGGGACUCCAGCUACUUUUAUGUAUAAAAUUAUGGGCCCAGAACAUGUGCAUUUUCAGAAAAAAUGGGUUAACCUCACUGAGACAACUUAGAAAAGAUAAUGGGGAAGUUUUAAUUUGGUUAAAAUUAUUUAUUUGCAAGUCAUAUGAGAAAAAAGGAAUCAGAAUCCCACAUAAAAACAAUAGUAUGUAUCCUUUAAUUAGUAUAGGAAGAUCUAAAAGACUGAACAAAUCAAAAAUUGCAUCCGUAAAAGAUUCUUUGCAAAAAGCAAGUGAAAAUCUUAAACAACAGACUAAGGACAUCAUAAAAGAGGACUAAGGCCGAG
rnacentral:lncRNA from 1 species